GGGGAGAUCGCAUAGUUGGUCUAGUGCGGCCGCCUGCUAAGCGGUUACAGGGGCUUUAAACCUCUGUCGGGGGUUCGAAUCCCCCUCUCCCCGCCA
rnacentral:tRNA from 1 species